rnacentral:rRNA from 1 species
UGGGGAAUCUUGCACAAUGGGCGAAAGCCUGAUGCAGCGACGCCGCGUGCGGGAUGAAGGCCUUCGGGUUGUAAACCGCUUUCAGCAGGGACGAGGCCGCAAGGUGACGGUACCUGCAGAAGAAGCCCCGGCUAACUACGUGCCAGCAGCCGCGGUAAUACGUAGGGGGCAAGCGUUAUCCGGAUUCAUUGGGCGUAAAGCGCGCGUAGGCGGUUUGUUAGGUCAGGAGUUAAAUCUGGGGGCUCAACCCCUAUCCGCUCCUGAUACCGGCAGGCUUGAGUCUGGUAGGGGAAGGCGGAAUUCCAAGUGUAGCGGUGAAAUGCGCAGAUAUUUGGAAGAACACCGGUGGCGAAGGCGGGUCUCUGGGCCGUUACUGACGCUGAGGAGCGAAAGCGUGGGGAGCGAACAGG